CGAGCACGCGCGUGUGGCAUAUCAAUAAGCGGAGGAAAAGAAACUAACCUAGGAUUCCCUUAGUAACGGCGAGUGAAGCGGGAAGAGCUCAAAUUUGAAAUCUUCAAGGGUUUACCUUGACGAAUUGUAGUUUAAAGAAGUGUUUUCUGUUAGAGUUCGGUAAAAGUUCUUUGGAAUAGGACAUCAUAGAGGGUGAGAAUCCCGUAUUUGAUCAGUUGCAUUUCUAGCUGUGUGAUACACUUUCAAAGAGUCGGAUUGUUUGGGAAUGCAGUCCAAAAUGGGUGGUAAAUUUCGAGUCUAAAGCUAAAUAUUGGCGAGAGACCGAUAGCGAACAAGUACCGUGAGGGAAAGAUGAAAAGAACUUUGAAAAGAGAGUUAAACAGUACGUGAAAUUGUCAAAAGGGAAGCGUUUGACACCAGUGUUGUUUUUCCGAAAAUCAAUUACGAAUGUUUUAUUUUUGAGGAGUUAUGACUUCAUCGGCUUGCUCCUUUCUUUAUGGAACUUUCUUAAUGCACUUUUCGGUUAACAAGUCAACAUCAAUUUCUUUUGUUGUAAAAGGGUAUGAGGAAGGUGGCUUUCUUUUCGGAGAAAGUGUUUAUAGCCUUGUGCCUCUGCAAUCGGAGAGAUUGAGGUCUGCAACGUAGAUCCUUCGGGGUUAGAUACGUUUGUGCUAAGUUAUAGCUUUUCAUAGACAACUUGUUGACUAUGUUUAGUCUUGUAGCUUACUCGCUGACGCUAUUUUACCUACGCUUAGGAUGUUGAACUCUAUCACACACAG
rnacentral:rRNA from 1 species